CAAUAGCGUAUAUUAAUGUUGUUGCAGUUAAAAAGCUCGUAGUUGGAUUUCUGACAGGAGCGACCGGUCCGAUCCUUUGGGUCGAGUACUUUGUGUUGUCUCUAGUCAUCCUUAUGGAGAACUUGCGUGGCAUUAAGUUGUCGUGUAAGGGAACCAUAUCGUUUACUGUGAAAAAAUUAGAGUGUUUAAAGCAGGCAAUCGCUGUGAAUACGUUAGCAUGGAAUAAUAAGAUAGGACUUUGGUACUAUUUUGUUGGUUUACAUACCAGGGUAAUGAUUAAGAGGGACAGUUGGGGGUAUUCGUAUUUAAUUGUCAGAGGUGAAAUUCUUGGAUUUAUGAAAGACGAACUACUGCGAAAGCAUUUACCAAGGAUGUUUUCAUUAA
rnacentral:rRNA from 1 species